rnacentral:rRNA from 1 species
AGAGUUUGAUCCUGGCUCAGGAUGAACGCUAGCUACAGGCUUAACACAUGCAAGUCGCGGGGCAGCAUGGGGGUUGCUUGCAAUCCCCGAUGGCGACCGGCGCACGGGUGAGUAACGCGUAUCCAACCUGCCCUUCACCACGGGAUAACCCGGCGAAAGUCGGACUAAUACCGUAUGUUGUCCAUUGACGGCAUCCGAUUUGGACGAAAGGUUUGGCGGUGAGGGAUGGGGAUGCGUCCGAUUAGCCAGACGGCGGGGUAACGGCCCACCGUGGCUACGAUCGGUAGGGGUUCUGAGAGGAAGGUCCCCCACACUGGAACUGAGACACGGUCCAGACUCCUACGGGAGGCAGCAGUGAGGAAUAUUGGUCAAUGGGCGUAAGCCUGAACCAGCCAAGUAGCGUGCAGGAUGACGGCCCUAUGGGUUGUAAACUGCUUUUAUGCGGGGAUAAAGUGGCCCACGUGUGGGUUUUUGCAGGUACCGCAUGAAUAAGGACCGGCUAAUUCCGUGCCAGCAGCCGCGGUAAUACGGAAGGUCCGGGCGUUAUCCGGAUUUAUUGGGUUUAAAGGGAGCGUAGGCCGCGCCUUAAGCGUGUUGUGAAAUCCGGGUGCUCAACAUCCGGCUUGCAGCGCGAACUGGGGCGCUUGAGUGCGCUGAAAGUAGGCGGAAUUCGUGGUGUAGCGGUGAAAUGCUUAGAUAUCACGAGGAACUCCGAUUGCGAAGGCAGCCUACUGUAGCGCUACUGACGCUGAUGCUCGAAAGCGUGGGUAUCGAACAGGAUUAGAUACCCUGGUAGUCCACGCGGUAAACGAUGGAUGCUCGUUGUCGGCCCUUGGGGUCGGUGACCAAGCGAAAGCGUUAAGCAUCCCACCUGGGGAGUACGCCGGCAACGGUGAAACUCAAAGGAAUUGACGGGGGCCCG